AUGGGGUGCAGCAGGCGCGAAACCUCUGCAAUGCACGAAAGUGUGACAGGGGAAUUCCACGUGCAAGCUUUGCUUGCUUUUCCCAAGUCCAAAACGCUUGGGGAAUAAGGGCUGGGCAAGACCCGUGCCAGCCGCCGCGGUAACACGGGCAGCUCUAGUGGCGUUCGCGAAUAUUGGGCCUAAAGCGUACGUAGCCGGCCAAGUAAGUUCCUGGUGAAAGCACGCGACUUAAUCGUGUGAGUUGCCAGGAAAACUGCUCGGCUUGGGACCGGAAGAGGUCGGAGGUAUUCCAGGGGUAGGGGUAAAAUCCUGUAAUCCUUGGAGGACCAUCGGUGGCGAAGGCGUCCGACUGGGACGGGUCCGACGGUGAGGUACGAAAGCUAGGGGAGCGACCCGGAUUAGAUACCCGGUUAGUCCUAGCCGUAAAUGAUGUCUGUUUGGUAUUGCACUCCUUACGAGGGAUUGCAGUGCCGUAGGGAAGCCGUUAAACAGACCGCCUGGGGAGUACGGCCGCAAGGCUGAAACUUAAAGGAAUUGGCGGGGGAGCAC
rnacentral:rRNA from 1 species